UACGAAGGGGGCUAGCGUUGUCCGGAAUUAUUGGGCGUAAAGAGCUCGUAGGCGGUGUGUCACGUCGGCCGUGAAAACCUGGGGCUUAACUCUGGGCGUGCGGUCGAUACGGGCAUCACUAGAGUUCGGCAGGGGAGACUGGAAUUCCUGGUGUAGCGGUGAAAUGCGCAGAUAUCAGGAGGAACACCGGUGGCGAAGGCGGGUCUCUGGGCCGAUACUGACGCUGAGGAGCGAAAGCAUGGGGAGCGAACAGG
rnacentral:rRNA from 1 species